rnacentral:rRNA from 1 species
CAAUAGCGUAUAUUUAAGUUGUUGCGGUUAAAAAGCUCGUAGUUGGAUUUCGGGCGUGGAGGUUCGGUCCGCCGUUUCGGUGUGCACUGUCUUUCUGCGUCUUUCUGUCGGGGACGCGCUUCUGGCCUUAAUUGGCUGGGACGUGGAUUCGACGAGGUUACUUUGAAAAAUUAGAGUGUUCAAAGCAAGCUAAAGCUCUGAAUACAUUAGCAUGGAAUAACGCGAGAGGACUCGGUCCUUAUUUUGUUGGUCUUCAAGGAUGGAGUAAUGAUUAAGAGGGACAGUUGGGGGCAUUCGUAUUUCAUUGCUAGAGGUGAAAUUCUUGGAUUUAUGAAAGACGAACUUCUGCGAAAGCAUUUGCCAAGGAUGUUUUCAUUGAUCAAGAACGAAAGUUGGGGGCUCGAAGAUGAUUAGAUACCAU